CCCGUCUCGCGACGGGCCGGGAUGUGACCCUGGCCGACGGACGCCGACGCGUUCGUCGGGAGAGGCGACGCGCGUGCCGGCACGGCACCACCGCGACGCCGAUCGGGUUGAACCACCAA
rnacentral:ncRNA from 1 species